GCUCUACUAGCCCAACUGGAAGAGGCAUCGGACUUAAAAUCCGUACAGUCCAAGUUCGAAUCUUGGGUAGAGUA
rnacentral:tRNA from 1 species